CACAUCGACGGGGAGGUUUGGCACCUCGAUGUCGGCUCAUCGCAUCCUGGGGCUGUAGUCGGUCCCAAGGGUUGGGCUGUUCGCCCAUUAAAGCGGUACGCGAGCUGGGUUCAGAACGUCGUGAGACAGUUCGGUCCCUAUCCGUCGUGGGCGUAGGAAAUUUGAGAGGAGCUGUCCUUAGUACGAGAGGACCGGGAUGGACAUACCUCUGGUGUACCAGUUGUCGUGCCAACGGCAUAGCUGGGUAGCUAUGUGUGGACGGGAUAAGUGCUGAAAGCAUCUAAGCAUGAAGCCCCCCUCAAGAUGAGAUUUCCCAACUUCGGUUAUAAGAUCCCUCAAAGAUGAUGAGGUUAAUAGGUUCGAGGUGGAAGCAUGGUGACAUGUGGAGCUGACGAAUACUAAUCGAUCGAAGACUUAAUCAAAA
rnacentral:rRNA from 1 species